GGCGGAUGCCCCUCCCCCAGCCUGUCUGCUCCCUCCCAGUUCGAUCUCAGACCGCUGUGCUAGCAGUGAGCAAGCCUCCAUGGGCAUGUGAUCCUCCGAGCCAUGUGCGGGAUAUAAUCUCCUGGUGUGCCAUUUGCUAAGACUGUUGGAAAAGCACACUAUUAGGGUGGAAGUGUCCCGAUUUUCCAGGUACCAUCUCUCAUGGCUUCCCUUGGCUAGGAAAGGGAAAUCCCCCAACCCCUUGUACUUCCUGGAUGAGGUGAUGCCCCACCCUGCUUCAGCUCACCCUCUCCGUGGGCUACACCCACUGUCCAACCAGUUCCAGGUACUUCAGUUGGAAAUGCAGAAAUCAUCUGUCUUCUGUGUUGAUAGUGCUGGAGCUGUAGACCAGAGCUGUUCCUAUUUGGCCAUCUUUGUGCCUCCCCUUGUUUUUUUUUUCUUCUGAUUUCAACUUGACAGCAGAACUCAACCAUGCUGAUGGUGCAGACGCAGAAGGUGAUGAGGGGCCUCUCCAUCUGCACCACCUGCCUCCUGAGCAUGUUCCAGGCCAUUACCAUCAGCCCCAGCACCUCCUGGCAUCAGAGGCACUCCCAGCACUUUCACAGCAGCAGCC
rnacentral:lncRNA from 10 species